rfam:Anaerotruncus sp. G3(2012) genomic scaffold acPFl-supercont1.7, whole genome shotgun sequence.
AAAGCGAAUUGGACAGCGGCGGGAUGCCGGAAACGGCAUCGUGAGGAAAGUCCGGGCUCCACAGGGCGGGAUACCUGCUAACGGCAGGCCGAGGCGACUCGAGGGAAAGUGCAACAGAGAGAUACCGCCAUCCUCGGAUGGUAAGGGUGGAAAGGCGGGGUAAGAGCCCACCGGGAUGCGGGCGACCGCAUUGCCAUGUAAACCCUAUCCGGAGCAACACCAGCUGGAACAAUGCGGCUGCCCGCCGGGUUCCGAAAGGUGGCUUGAGCUGUAUGGCAACGUACGGCCUAGAAAGAUCGUUGUCCGCGACAGAACCCGGCUUAUAGAUUCCCUUUCUGC